UGAAGCGGCAACAGCUCAAAUUUGAAAUCUGACCCCUUUGGGGCCCGAGUUGUAAUUUGUAGAGGGUGCUUCGGGCGUGGCCUAGGUCUAAGUUCCUUGGAACAGGACGUCAUAGAGGGUGAGAAUCCCGUAUGCGACCGGCGAUCCAGCCCAUGUGAAGCCCCUUCGACGAGUCGAGUUGUUUGGGAAUGCAGCUCAAAAUGGGUGGUAAAUUUCAUCUAAAGCUAAAUACCGGCCAGAGACCGAUAGCGAACAAGUAGAGUGAUCGAAAGAUGAAAAGCACUUUGAAAAGAGAGUUAAAAAGUACGUGAAAUUGUUGAAAGGGAAGCGCUUGCAAUCAGACCUGCCCGGGGGUGAGCGGUCGGGGCUCAGUUUCCCGACCAUCCAUUCACCCCCGAUCGGGCCAGCAUCGGUUUGGGCGGCGAGAUAAAAGCCUCGGGAAUGUAGCUUCUUUCGGGGAGUCUUAUAGCCCGGGGCGCAAUGUUGCCAGCCUGGACCGAGGACCGCGCUUCGGCUAGGAUGCUGGCGUAAUGGUUGUAAGCGACCCGUCUUGAAACACGGACCAAGGAGUCUAACAUCUAUGCGAGUGUUUGGGUGUGAAACCCGGGCGCGGAAUGAAAGUGAACGGAGGUGGGAGCCCCGUCGCACGGGCGCACCAUCGACCGAUCCAGAUGUCUUCGGAUGGAUUUGAGUACGAGCAUAGCUGUUGGGACCCGAAAGAUGGUGAACUUUGCUUGAAUAGGGUGAAGCCAGAGGAAACUCUGGUGGAGGCUCGCAGCGGUUCUGACGUGCAAAUCGAUCGUCGAAUUUGAGCAAAGGGGCGAAAGACUAAUCGAACCAUCUAGUAGCUGGUUCCUGUCGAAGUUUCCCUCAGGAUAGCAGUAACGUUUUCAGUUUUAUGAGGUAAAGCGAAUGAUUAGAGGCCUUGGGGUUGAAACAACCUUAACCUAUUCUCAAACUUUAAAUAUGUAAGAAGUCCUUGUUGCUUCGUUGAACGUGGACAUUUGAAUGUACCGUUACUAGUGGGCCAUUUUUGGUAAGCAGAACUGGCGAUGCGGGAUGAACCGAACGCGAGGUUAAGGUGCCGGAAUGCACGCUCAUCAGACACCACAAAAAGUGUCAAUUCAUCCAGACAGCCGGACGGUGGCCAUGGAAGUCGGAAACCGCUAAGGAGUGUGUAACAACUCACCGGCCGAAUGAAUUGGCCUUGAAAAUGGAUGGCGCUCAAGCGUGCUACCCAUACCUCGCCGCCAGGGUAGAAACGAUGCCCUGGCGAGUAGGCAGGCGUGGAGGUCGGUGACGAAGCCCUGGGGGUGACCCCGGGUCGAACGGCCUCUAGUGCAGAUCUUGGGUGGUAGUAA
rnacentral:rRNA from 1 species